rnacentral:rRNA from 1 species
CGCUUUAAGAUGUUCUUCAUAUUUCGGAUAGGUAGUAGUUAAAGUAAUUGUUUAACUAGCCAGAAAUUCCGUAGUCGGGGCUGAGAGGUCGAUCGACCACAUUGGAGAUGAGACAAGUCCAAUGCGCAAUUGUACAGCAGUGAGGAAUAUUGGUCAAUAGCCUAACGGCUGAACCAGCAAUUUGAAGGAAUAUAGGUUUAUAACGUUGUAGAACCUUUGUUCAGGAUACUAAAAUGAUAAUGACAAUUUAGUAUUUAUAGUCUUGACCAAAUCACGUGCCAGCAGUCGCGGUAAGACGUGAAAGACGAGUGUUAUUCAUCAUGAAUAGGUUUAAAGGGUACCUAGACGGUAAAUCUUGCCUUUUAAUGGGAACAGAUUUACUAGAGUUUUAUAUGAGAAGGGGAGAAUUAGAGGUGUAGAGAUGAAAUUUUUUGAUACCUCUAGGACUGGUAAUGGCGUAGGCAACCUUCUAAGUAAAAACUGACGUUGAGGGACGAAGGCUUUGGUAACGAACUGGAUUAGAUACCCGAGUAGUCUUAGCAGAAAAUGCUGAAUGCCAUUGGUUAGAGUAAGCAAUACGACUGGCCAAUAAAUGAAAGUGUAAGCAUUCCACCUCAAGAGUAAUACGGCAACGUAGAAACUGAAAUCAUUAGACCGUUUCUGAAACCAGUUGUGAAGCAUGUUAUUUAAUUCGAUGAUCCACGAAAAACCUUACCACAACUUGAAUGUAGAAGGUGUUAGGCCUAAUCCCUUACCCGGGAGUGUAUAGAUACUCUAGGCUGGAGCCGAAGAGUGGAAAUACCGAUACUGAGUUAGGGACCACUCCCCAAUAGGUUUUCUAUCCAAUACACAAGCGUUGCACGGCUGUCUUCAGUUAAUGUCGUGAGAUUUUGGUUAGCUCCAUUUAAUUGACGCAAACCCUUACUUUAUUUAAACCAUUAUAAAGUUGUAUGCAGAUACAAUUGAGUUGAUAAUAGGGACCAAGACAAGUCAUCAUGACCUAAAUGUUGUGGGCUAUAGACGUGCCACAUAUGCCUUUACAAAGGGAUGCAAAAAUGUGAAUUCUCGCUAAUCCCCUAAAAUAGGAUAUAAUAUGGAUUGCAGUCUGAAAUUCGACUGCGUGAAAAAGGAAUAACUAGUAAUCGUGUAUCACCAUGGCACGGUGGAUUUAAUCUCAGAUAGGUACUAAUUACUCGUCAGGCGCUGAAAGUAGUUUCUGCAAUAAGUUUGAGUUGGCUAAUUAUAAAGGAGCAAUGAGGCAUCCAGAGUCUUUAGUUCAAUUUUUCGUAUGCAGAAAUACGAUUGGUGUUAAGUCGAAAUACAGUUCGUGUAGUGGAAGUUGCACGG